GACGAACGCUGGCGGCGUGCUUAACACAUGCAAGUCGAACGGAAAGGCCCUGCUUUUGUGGGGUGCUCGAGUGGCGAACGGGUGAGUAACACGUGAGUAACCUGCCCUUGACUUUGGGAUAACUUCAGGAAACUGGGGCUAAUACCGGAUAGGAGCUCCUGCUGCAUGGUGGGGGUUGGAAAGUUUCGGCGGUUGGGGAUGGACUCGCGGCUUAUCAGCUUGUUGGUGGGGUAGUGGCUUACCAAGGCUUUGACGGGUAGCCGGCCUGAGAGGGUGACCGGCCACAUUGGGACUGAGAUACGGCCCAGACUCCUACGGGAGGCAGCAGUGGGGAAUAUUGCACAAUGGGCGGAAGCCUGAUGCAGCAACGCCGCGUGCGGGAUGACGGCCUUCGGGUUGUAAACCGCUUUCGCCUGUGACGAAGCGUGAGUGACGGUAAUGGGUAAAGAAGCACCGGCUAACUACGUGCCAGCAGCCGCGGUGAUGCGUAGGGUGCGAGCGUUGUCCGGAUUUAUUGGGCGUAAAGGGCUCGUAGGUGGUUGAUCGCGUCGGAAGUGUAAUCUUGGGGCUUAACCCUGAGCGUGCUUUCGAUACGGGUUGACUUGAGGAAGGUAGGGGAGAAUGGAAUUCCUGGUGGAGCGGUGGAAUGCGCAGAUAUCAGGAGGAACACCAGUGGCGAAGGCGGUUCUCUGGGCCUUUCCUGACGCUGAGGAGCGAAAGCGUGGGGAGCGAACAGGCUUAGAUACCCUGGUAGUCCACGCUGUAAACGGUGGGUACUAGGUGUGGGGUCCAUUCCACGGGUUCCGUGCCGUAGCUAACGCUUUAAGUACCCCGCCUGGGGAGUACGGCCGCAAGGCUAAAACUCAAAGGAAUUGACGGGGCCCCGCACAAGCGGCGGAGCAUGCGGAUUAAUUCGAUGCAACGCGUAGAACCUUACCUGGGUUUGACAUGGAUCGGGAGUGCUCAGAGAUGGGUGUGCCUCUUUUGGGGUCGGUUCACAGGUGGUGCAUGGCUGUCGUCAGCUCGUGUCGUGAGAUGUUGGGUUAAGUCCCGCAACGAGCGCAACCCUUGUUCACUGUUGCCAGCACGUUAUGGUGGGGACUCAGUGGAGACCGCCGGGGUCAACUCGGAGGAAGGUGGGGAUGACGUCAAGUCAUCAUGCCCCUUAUGUCCAGGGCUUCACGCAUGCUACAAUGGCUGGUACAGAGAGUGGCGAGCCUGUGAGGGUGAGCGAAUCUCGGGAAGCCGGUCUCAGUUCGGAUUGGGGUCUGCAACUCGACCUCAUGAAGUCGGAGUCGCUAGUAAUCGCAGAUCAGCAACGCUGCGGUGAAUACGUUCCCGGG
rnacentral:rRNA from 1 species